rnacentral:tRNA from 1 species
GGGCCGUUAGCUCAACUGGCAGAGCGGCUGGCUCUUAACCAGCGGGUUGGGGGUUCGAGUCCCUCACGGCCCUCCA